rnacentral:rRNA from 1 species
AACGAACGCUGGCGGCAUGCCUAACACAUGCAAGUCGAACGAGACCUUCGGGUCUAGUGGCGCACGGGUGCGUAACGCGUGGGAAUCUACCCAAAGGUACGGAAUAACUCCCCGAAAGGGGUGCUAAUACCGUAUGAUGUCGCAAGACCAAAGAUUUAUCGCCUUUGGAUGAGCCCGCGUAGGAUUAGCUAGUUGGUGGGGUAAA